ensembl:snRNA U1 U1 spliceosomal RNA
UAGAUUACCUGGCAGGGGAGACACCAUGAUCAAGAAGGUGGUUCACCCAGGGCGAGGCUAGGCCAUUACACUACGGCUGUGCUGACCCAAGCGAAUUCCCCCAAUAUGGGAAUCUCAACUGCAUAAUUCAUGGUAAUGGGGGACUGCGUUUGUGCUCUCCCCUG